UACGUAGGGUGCGAGCGUUAAUCGGAAUUACUGGGCGUAAAGCGUGCGCAGGCGGUUUUGUAAGCCAGAUGUGAAAUCCCCGGGCUUAACCUGGGAAUGGCAUUUGGGACUGCAAAGCUUGAGUGCGGCAGAGGGGACUGGAAUUCCUGGUGUAGCAGUGAAAUGCGUAGAGAUCAGGAGGAAUACCGAUGGCGAAGGCAGGUCCCUGGGCUGACACUGACGCUCAUGCACGAAAGCGUGGGAGCGAACAGGA
rnacentral:rRNA from 1 species